AUCCAGCUGACGAGUCCCAAAUAGGACGAAACACGCGUCAAACUGUAU
rnacentral:hammerhead_ribozyme from 1 species